rnacentral:rRNA from 1 species
GAUGAACGCUGGCGGCGUGCCUAAUACAUGCAAGUCGAGCGAACAGACGAGGAGCUUGCUCCUCUGACGUUAGCGGCGGACGGGUGAGUAACACGUGGAUAACCUACCUAUAAGACUGGGAUAACUUCGGGAAACCGGAGCUAAUACCGGAUAAUAUAUUGAACCGCAUGGUUCAAUAGUGAAAGGCGGUUUUGCUGUCACUUAUAGUUGGAUCCGCGCCGCAUUAGCUAGUUGGUAAGGUAACGGCUUACCAAGGCAACGAUGCGUAGCCGACCUGAGAGGGUGAUCGGCCACACUGGAACUGAGACACGGUCCAGACUCCUACGGGAGGCAGCAGUAGGGAAUCUUCCGCAAUGGGCGAAAGCCUGACGGAGCAACGCCGCGUGAGUGAUGAAGGUCUUCGGAUCGUAAAACUCUGUUAUUAGGGAAGAACAAAUGUGUAAGUAACUAUGCACGUCUUGACGGUACCUAAUCAGAAAGCCACGGCUAACUACGUG